GAAAACUCCGGUGGUACGGGAUGGACCCGCGUCUGAUUAGCUGGUUGGCGGGGUAACGGCCCACCAAGGCGACGAUCAGUAGCCGGCCUGAGAGGGCGGACGGCCACAUUGGGACUGAGACACGGCCCAAACUCCUACGGGAGGCAGCAGUGGGGAAUAUUGCACAAUGGGGGAAACCCUGAUGCAGCGACGCCGCGUGAGUGAAGAAGCGUUUCGGCGCGUAAAGCUCUGUCAGCGGGGAAGAAACACGGUUCGCGAGAGCCGCGGACGGUACCCGACCAAGAAGCCCCGGCUAACUACGUGCCAGCAGCCGCGGUAAUACGUAGGGGGCAAGCGUUAUCCGGAUUCACUGGGUGUAAAGGGAGCGUAGACGGCGAGACAAGUCUGGAGUGAAAGGCCGGGGCCCAACCCCGGGACUGCUCUGGAAACUGCCUGGCUGGAGUACAGGAGAGGUAAGUGGAAUUCCUAGUGUAGCGGUGAAAUGCGUAGAUAUUAGGAGGAACACCAGUGGCGAAGGCGGCUUACUGGACUGUAACUGACGUUGAGGCUCGAAAGCGUGGGGAGCAAACAGGAUUAGAUACCCUGGUAGUCCACGCCGUAAACGAUGAUCACUAGGUGUCGGGGG
rnacentral:rRNA from 1 species